GUUGUUACAUAGCAGUCAAUCACCUAGCACAAAUUUUGUAGCAGUUGCAGAUGGCCAGUUGCACAGUCUCGGUGAAGCAUUGUAGAACCCCGGUCUCAACUCAGUUACUGUUAUAAUCACGAUUUUUGUUUUAGAUCCAGCUGUGAAAGCAGAAGUUACAAGAAUGAAGGUUCAGCUACAGAGUUAUUCCACGCAAGUAAUAGGGAGAACAAUUGUUUACCUAAAUGGUACGACUCAUGCUUGCCGUUUUCAUGAGUGCAACUUGGGAAAUUUAAUUUGUGAUGCUGUGGUUUACAAUAACUUAAGACACCCAGAUGAUAAUGAGUGGAAUCAUGUUUCCAUGUGCAUUGUAAAUGGUGGUGGAAUACGGUCACCUAUUGAUGAACAAGCCAAUAACGGUAUGUGCAAUUUCAAGAGCUUUUACACAGUGCCACUUCAAUUUCCCUUCGUUUUAUAUCAAUAUUUAAGUUUGUACUUGUAUCCACUCUAUUCAACUACUGUCACAGUUUUCUAAAAUCCCUCUUUUGCAACUUCCUUUAUGGGAAAAAAGCCCGUUCUUCCAUUAAUAUUUAAAAACUAUAUCAGGUUGGCCUUUACAAAGCAUCUUAUUUAUGUUUUUAUUACUUUGCUGUAAAUAUCUUAUCCAAACCCCCUGUGGCACUACUAGUUUUUCUCUUGGAAAAUCAUCUAAUCAUUU